GCGCGCGCGGCGGCGGGCGCUGAAGAGCGGCGAGGGGCCGCGACCGCCCCGCCUCGCCGCCGCCUCAGGCGCGCACACCUCCCGGCCGACCCGCCCGGCCCGGCCCUGCGGCGCUCACCGAGUAUCGGCGGCCGAGCGCCUGGAUGGAUGCGUACGGCGAGGGCAGCGCCGCCGUUUUGUCUCUUCUCCCUUAGCAAGCAUUGAGAAAUUUCGCGCUCUGAGUCAUUUCCUCCUGCUCGCGCUGACACCGAGCACCUCGCAGCCGGCACCGCACGGCAGCUCCCCCGGCCUUCCGCUUCCACUGGCGAGGAACCCCGCAGGGGCCCACGGGCCCGCCUUGGUUGCACCAGACGGGAUCGCCACGCGUCGCAGGGUGCGCCCUGCGGCCUCCUCCAGCUGCCCUGUGCCUGACUACAGCUCUACCAGCGCUGCCCUUUCUGCUCGGGCACCCGUCAGGCAGGUCGCCAGCAGUUGCGGGCAGGGCAGUGAAUGGCAGAGACCAACCUACUGCCACGGCACCUGUACUGCGGGGAGUUUUUGAGAGGAAACCCCCGCAUGAUGUUCACAGUGUGCUUCCUUUCAUCUCUACUGAUCUUGCAGUUAAGUCUUUUCAUCCCUUGCUGUUUUCAUAAGCGUUUUCUCCCUCUGAUCUGCCUGAGAGUAGUUGCAGAAUGCUGUUCCAUUUCAGCUCUGCUGUCAGAAGUGUCAGAUUCUGCCCUGUGUGAUGUAUGGGAAUUCUCUUGUGUGGUGCUGGAGACCGGUCAUAGAAACAGCAGUAAAUCUCAUAUCCGCCACUUUCAGCCAAACGAAGAGCUUUUGAAUGACUGGAGAAAGGAAGACGGUGAGGCAACUGCAUUGUCCCAAGUUGAAUACCGACUGUCCUCAUCCUGAUUUCAGCAUGACUGCUUUGAACGCUGCCAGCUGAGAGGCAGGCCAGCUCCACGCGUUUCACAGUGAGCGGCUCUCUGUAAAAAGUUCAACACUCAUUUGGUGGUUCAAAACUACAAGGCAGUUCACCAGUCUAAAUUAAAAUUUACAGAGACUCCACAGAAGUACACAGCAAACCGACCCAAAAUUUCCAACGCUGAACGGCUCCUGGGCCUUUCUCUUCCUCGCAGCUCCCUCUGGCGGCCCCGCUGCCCGGUGGCGGGUAGGCCGGUCGCACGGCUUUCAGCGAGCUGACUUCCAGGCGUUCAGGUAAACCAGAUGCUAAUGCCGGCUCUAUCACACGCAUGCAUCUUGGAGAUAUUUCUCAAGAUCUGUUUACAACUCCCAAGUUUGGUAUCAUGAGUUUCACACAUAGUUGAGGAGGAUGCAUUAGCAUCUUAAGAAUGUGCUGAAAUUUGCUUGGAGGGGGAUCACGGUAGCUUCAGAAUCCAUGUUAGACUAAGCACGAGUUGCAUGUUUUCUGAACGAUGUUUUAAUGUGCCAAGACCAAUACUACAGAGGUAAAGCUGAGAACAAUAGGGGGCCACAAAAGCCAAAUCUCUGUUGAAAAAGACUGGAAAUGGCACACUGAUGCUGUCAGAGCUGAUAAUGGUAACAUGAAGAGUAGAAGUAACAGCCAAAGAAAGCCCGAACACGGCAGCCAGAGACAUGGAGACCAAGGGCUGGUAGCAACAUAUCCAAACGGACUGCAGGGAAACCUACAGUCAUUAUAGAGAGUGAAUUUCACAUUUUCAGUUUUAUAAUUAAGCAAACCAGAAAGGCGGCAGUUAGAAUAGCCUGAACCUUGAAAUUAGCUUGAAACUUGGCAAGGAAAUAGUUCUAAAGUAAUCAAAUAAAGCCUCACCUUGUGAUGA